GACGAACCGUGCGAACGUUAUUCGGAAUCACUGGGCUUAAAGGGCGCGUAGGCGGGUCACCAAGUCCGGGGUGAAAUCCCACGGCCCAACCGUGGAAGUGCCUUGGAUACUGAUGACCUCGAGGGGGAUAGGGGCGUGCGGAACUCAGGGUGGAGCGGUGAAAUGCGUAGAUAUCGCUUGGAACGCCGAAGGUGAAAACAGGCUGCUGGGGUUGCGCCGACGCUGAGACACGAAAGCCAGGGGAGCAAACGGG
rnacentral:rRNA from 1 species